UACGUAGGUGACAAGCGUUGUCCGGAUUUACUGGGCGUAAAGAGCGCGCAGGCGGUCGUUCAAGUCGAGUGUGAAAGCCCCCGGCUCAACUGGGGAGGGUCACUCGAUACUGAUCGACUUGAAGGCAGGAGAGGGAAGCGGAAUUCCCGGUGUAGUGGUGAAAUGCGUAGAUAUCGGGAGGAACAUCAGUGGCGAAGGCGGCCCUCUGGACCAGCACUGACGCUGAGGCACGAAAGCGUGGGGAGCAAACAGG
rnacentral:rRNA from 1 species